GAAAAAGAUAUUGCAGCUGCUGCGUUUGAGGCAGAUUUUCAACGGUGUCUUCCUCAAAGUUAAUAAAGCAACAUUGAAUAUGCUGCACAGGGUUGAGCCUUAUGUAACCUAUGGCUACCCCAAUUUGAAAAGCGUUAAAGAACUCAUUUACAAGAGGGGUUAUGGGAAGCUAAACAAACGGAGAGUAGCAUUGACUGACAACUCAAUUGUGGAGCAGGCUCUGGGUAAAUACGGCAUUAUCUGCAUGGAAGAUCUCGUCCACGAGAUCAUGACCGUUGGACCUCACUUUAAGGAGGCAAAUAACUUCCUAUGGCCAUUUAAGUUGAAGGCACCUUUGGGUGGGUUGGAAAAGAAGAGGAAUCACUAUGUUGAAGGGGGAGAUGCUGGUAAUCGGGAGAAUUAUAUCAAUGAGCUUAUCAGGAGAAUGAAUUAGAUGAGGAACAAUUUUGUUGUCAUUGAUUCUUGUUUUGUCCAAUCACUGGAUGUAGAAACUAAGUUCACAAAGUUAGUCCAAUCACUGGAAGUAGAAACAUUUAAGCAGCGUAUACUUUGUUUAUGUCAG
rnacentral:misc_RNA from 1 species